AUAUUUGUCAGUACAUGGAUAACCCGAAUAAUCCAGUCGUUAAAUUACGAUCACUUUGAUCACUCCAUUAACCAUUUUCUCGAGAAAAGUAGUGGAUAGGGGCACUGAAUCAUUCGAGUUAGUACAUGGAGUAAAGAUAUUCAAAGAUUAGGAGCGACGAUUCAAUAUCCAUUUGUGUAUUGCAUUUGUCGUUGUUGAAACGGCACCAGGAACAUAUCAGGAUAGACAACAAAAGUCUAGUGAGAAAAAUGUUAUGAAACACCAGCAAAAAAGAUUAGAUUGUUAUUCAGUCCUGACUUAUACAGUGUUUCUGAAGAUUGAGAUUAGAACAGGCCUAUCCAGAAGCAAGAAAAAGAACAAUUUAUAGCACGUACAUCUACAGAGAGAGACAUGUUUUAAAAGACAGAUUUAUUUUCAAUUUUAGAAAACCUGUUGAACUUUUACUAUUUCUUAUCUGUUUAUUUUACAUUUAUAUAAAAUUGAGAAUGGAAAUGGGGAAUGUGUCAAAGAGACAACAACCCGACCAAAUAAAAAACAACAGCAUAUGUUGAUAUUUUGUUUUUUAAAAUUGCUGCACAGUAUUUCUAUUCAGUCCCAUAUAACAAAAUCAGCUGAAGAAAUUGAUAUUUUCAUAUUUCAAGGGAGUGUCCCUUUGCAUUGUUGAUAGCUGAUAUAAGUAUUGUCUUAAGUUGGGUUUAAAAACAGUCAGAUCGCAACUUCAAAUAAAAUACAUUUUUAUGAAUGUUAUAUGUCAUUAAAUAGGCAUGAAAAAUGGAAAAUUAUAUAGGAACACAUUUUUAAUACCUAAAUGUAUUGUCGAGGUAAAUUUAUUAUGUGAACAUAUAAAAUAUUAUCAAAAACACUGCUGGUUUAAAAUAAAAUUAUUAUAUGUGGCCUAAUGUAAUCAUACAGAUCAGUGUAAGCUUUCCUAAACAAAUUUUACAUAUUUUUAUAACCAGAAUAAAUUUAUUCUGUGUCUCAACCUUAACAUAAUUACUGUACUAUCAAAAUAAAUUUAUUUUAUAUAUCAUAAUACUUUUAAUUCACAUUGAAUGUAGAAUAAAUUUAUUCUGUGUCGCCUCCUUAAUAUGAUAACUGUACUUUCAGAAUAAAUUUAUUUUAUAUAUUAUUAUACAAGACAAAAAUCACAUUGAACAUAGAAUAAAUUUAUUCUGUGUC